GACGAACGCUGGCGGCGUGCUUAACACAUGCAAGUCGAACGGAAAGGCCCUGCGUUUGUGGGGUGCUCGAGGGGGGAACGGGUGAGGAACACGUGAGUAACCUGCCCUUGACUUUGGGAGAACUUCAGGGAACUGGGGCUAAUACAGGAUAGGAGAUCCUGCUGCAUGGAGGGGGGUGGAAAGUCUCGGCGGGUGUGGAUGGACUCGCGGGUUAUGAGCUUGUUGGUGGGGGAGUGGAUUACCAAGGCUUGGACGGGUAGCCGGCCUGAGAGGGUGACCGGCCACCUUGGGACUGCGAGACGGCCCAGACUCCUACGUUAGGCAGCGGGGGGGAGUAUUACACAAUGGGCGGACGCCGGAGGCAGCAACGCCGCGUGCGGGAUGACCGCCUUCGGGUUGUGAACCGCUUUCGCCUGUGACGAAGCGUGAGUGACGGUAAUGGGUAAAGAAGCACCGGCUAACUACGUG
rnacentral:rRNA from 1 species